UACGGAGGGUGCAAGCGUUGUCCGGAUUUAUUGGGUUUAAAGGGUGCGUAGGCGGCUUUUUAAGUCAGUGGUGAAAGCCAACAGCUCAACUGUUGAACUGCCAUUGAUACUGAAAAGCUUGAGUACAGACGAGGUAGGCGGAAUUUAUGGUGUAGCGGUGAAAUGCAUAGAUACCAUAAAGAACACCGAUUGCGAAGGCAGCUUACUAGGCUGUAACUGACGCUGAGGCACGAAAGCGUGGGGAUCAAACAGG
rnacentral:rRNA from 1 species